rnacentral:rRNA from 1 species
GAUGAACGCUGGCGGCGUGCCUAAUACAUGCAAGUCGAGCGAACAGAUGAGGAGCUUGCUCCUCUGACGUUAGCGGCGGACGGGGGAGUAACACGUGGAUAACCUACCUAUAAGACUGGGAUAACUUCGGGAAACCGGAGCUAAUACCGGAUAAUAUAUUGAACCGCAUGGUUCAAUAGUGAAAGACGGUUUUGCUGUCACUUAUAGAUGGAUCCGCACCGCAUUAGCUAGUUGGUACGGUAACGGCUUACCAAGGCAGCGAUGCGUAGCCGACCUGAGAGGGUGAUCGCCCACACUGGAACUGAGACACGGUCCAGACUCCUACGGGAGGCAGCAGUAGGGAAUCUUCCGCAAUGGGCGAAAGCCUGACGGAGCAACGCCGCGUGAGUGAUGAAGGUCUUCGGAUCGUAAAACUCUGUUAUUAGGGAAGAACAAAUGUGUAAGUAACUAUGCACGUCUUGACGGUACCUAAUCAGAAAGCCACGGCUAACUACGUG